rnacentral:lncRNA from 1 species
CUCCUCAUCAGAGGCGGAAGAAAGCAGCUCGAGCUCAGGAAGGAGCUGGAGGUGAAGAAACCUGAGGCUGAGACAGCCAACUAACUCCACCCUGACAUCCAGAAGAUGGAGGAAGAGGACGGAGUAGCUGCAGCAUCCAGCUGUGUGUCUGUGGGGAGUGACUGGUUUACACAAACACCUCCACGUUACAGUCAUGGACCUGCAGCAGUAAUGUAAGAACACGACUGACUUUAUUAGUCAUUUCAAACAUAACCAUGACAGAAUCAUUGAUCUGUGAUUGGUUCAAACUGUUUGAUCUGAGUUUGAUUUCUUGUUGUUUUCUUGCUGAGAUCUCUGUAAGUUUAAGUGAAGUCAGUGCAGCAAAGAGAGAAGAGCUGAGAACAAACUGACUUCAUUCACAUCACAGACAGAAAAAGGACCAACGGAUGUUAAACUGGAUGAUUACUGGCUGACAUGUCAGUGUUAUGAGGCAGCCACAAUAUAAUAUCACAAAGUGAUCAGCUGAUCAUAUGGCUGUCAGAGAGAACUGAUCAGUUAUUUAUGUUUGUGUUUGCAGAGGUCAGAGGUCACGGUCUCCAGUAUCCAGCUGUGUGUCUAUGAGGAGUGACUGGUCCAGAGAAAGACCUCCAGACUUUAGUCAUGAACCUGCACCAACAAUAGGUCAGAGGUCACAGUCUCCAGUAUCCAGCUGUGUGUCUAUGAGGAGUGACUGGUCCAGAGAAAGACCUCCAGACUUCAGUCAUGAACCUGCAGCAGCAAUAGGUCAGAGGUCACAGUCUCCAGUGUACAGCUGUGUUUCUGUGAGGAGUGACUGGUCCAAGCCCAGACCUCCAGACUUCAGUAAUGAACCUGCACCAACAAUGUUCUUCAGUCAUGGACCUCAGCUGACCAUGUAAGAGAGCUGCUGACUCACAGAGUUCAAAGGUUGUUUAAAUGAAUGCAUUUGGGAGCCAGUUCAGCUCACCUGAUUGAGCAGGUGACCAUAUAUCACAAGGUUGGGGUUGAUU